rnacentral:rRNA from 1 species
UACAUGCAGUCGAACGGUUGUAGCAAUACAGCAGUGGCAGACGGGUGAGUAACACGUGGGAACCUACCUAGGGGUACGGAAUAACUCAGGGAAACUUGUGCUAAUACCGUAUACGACCUUCGGGUGAAAGAUUUAUCGCCCCUAGAUGGGCCCGCGUUGGUUUAGCUAGUUGGUGAGGUAAAAGCUCACCAAGGCGACGAUCCAUAGCUGGUCUGAGAGGAUGAUCAGCCACACUGGGACUGAGACACGGCCCAGACUCCUACGGGAGGCAGCAGUAGGGAAUCUUGGACAAUGGGCGAAAGCCUGAUCCAGCCAUGCCGCGUGAGUGAUGAAGGCCUUAGGGUUGUAAAGCUCUUUCGCCAGGGAAGAUAAUGACGGUACCUGGAUAAGAAGCCCCGGCUAACUUCGUGCCAGCAGCCGCGGUAAUACGAAGGGGGCUAGCGUUGUUCGGAAUUACUGGGCGUAAAGCGCACGUAGGCGGUUUUCCAAGUUGGAGGUGAAAUCCCUGGGCUCAACCCGGGAACUGCCUCCAAAACUGGAUCACUCGAGUCCGAGAGAGGUGAGUGGAAUUUCCAGUGUAGAGGUGAAAUUCGUAGAUAUUGGAAAGAACACCAGUGGCGAAGGCGGCUCACUGGCUCGGUACUGACGCU